rfam:Schistosoma margrebowiei strain Zambia genome assembly, scaffold: SMRZ_scaffold0000823
ACCCAGCUGACGAGUCACAAAUAGGACGAAAUGUGCGUCAAACUGGAU